AAGUCGUAACAAGGUUUCCGUAGGUGAACCUGCGGAAGGAUCAUUAACACGUAUCCACGUAUCAACCAACUGUGAACUUGUUUUCAACUCUCCCUGCCUUCUACAUGAAUUGAAUUUGAUAAAGUAAUGAUGAGGAAUAUGCGCAAGCAAAUUCAGCUUUAUCAAAUAACUUGACUUUCGGGUCAGACAAUUGUAGUAGUAGCGUCAGGUCAACUUUUCCAUUAACAACUUCCCUCUUCAUGAAGGAGUUAAUGGGAUAUUAUACACAUAUUUCACCCCCUUUUUGCUAGUUGACUUUUAUAUGUUGUUUUAUUCGUACUUCACUGUAUGAAUGAAUCACACGUUUAUUAAUUGAACGUUAAAUUUACAACUCUUAGCAAUGGAUAUCUUGGUUCUC
rnacentral:misc_RNA from 1 species